GAAAAAGUUGGCUGGCCCUUAGAAGUUGUUAAAAAGCAUAGAUAUCAGAUAGAUUUCAAGGGAAAAGUUGAGCAGUCGAUUCAGAACUGUACUUUAAGUCUUGUUAUGAUAAAAACUUUUAUUGCAGGACAAACCCUUAAUGCAGGAGGAGGCCACUGAGCAUCUAAACUUUAGCCAAAAGCUUCAAAGACUAGUGAUAAUGGCACAUGGCUGAGGGUCCCUCUCCCACUUACAGAGCCACUAAACCAUUGAGCGGAGAUCAAUUAGCCUUCAAGUCAACAAGUAAGUAUCUUUUCUGAAUCUUCAUGGGCCCUUAAAAAAAUCACCUGUGGCUAAGUAAGAUCGAAACGAAAGCAGCUUAAAACUCAUUUUGCAUUACCUGUUGAUUAUCGACCUAUGCUGUCAAGUCAACAAAUGCGCUUGCCUUAAAGAUUAGCACUUGCUACUGCACUUAAAAUUGGGACAUGUGCGCAUACAACCCGAAUAUUUGUAGGUAGUGAGUGGUCAUGAUAAGGUUGUAUUGUUUCCAUCUCUGUUAUGCAAACUUUCUGUCCAAUCAAGAUUUAGCUUUACUACAUUGGUGCCUUACGCAGAUAGUUUCGACAGCUUCUUUUUGACAAAGCAUCCACUUAAAUGAUUGUAGAAUGGAAAUUUGCUUUUCUAUUACUCAUAAGUCAUGACCAAGCUAUAGCCGUCUCACUACCUAUAGUUUCUGAGCAACAGGUUCUCUUGACAUAAAAGCAGCCUUGGGACUAGUCUUAGAGACUUAGAGUACCCUGUCUGACUAGAAAUCUCUUGCCUGUAGAGGAAUUAGAUAAGUCUAUGACAUAAGAGAGUUAAGUCUAUGCGUAUCACCACAUCCGCAUAACUAUUAGCUGAUUAGCUAGAGUCGACGAUUAAUGUAAGUAGAUGAUUCAACAGACUUGUUGAGGAUGGAGAAUAAUGUUUUGAUGUAAAGGUGAUAUUCGAGAGUUACGUUGGGAAUCGCCAACUUGAUUGCUCGAGUAAUUAACUCAAUACACUUAACCGUUAGGCAGUAUAUUCGAGGUCGAUCCACAAAGACCAAAGAUACUCUAAGGAUUUUCGAGACUUGUUCUUAGCUAAAACUAAAAAGUUGUUUUGUUUGAGUUUUCCGAAUUGUAAAAUAAAAAUGCAAUUAAAUUAAACGAUUUAAGUUUCAAGAUUUAAAGACAUUAGGCAUUAGGGUAUUUCAGAGAUCAAUAAACAAUGGAAACAUGGGACAAGGAAUUCAACAAUUACGAACCGUUCUUGAACAUGAACACAACUUAGACUAAUUCUCUUUCAAGACAUUAAUCACUAAAUUUGACUACUCGAUUACUAAACUUUCGCAUGUAAUUUCCUAGUCAAAUUCGCAUUAUCAAACAAGUUCAUUUAGUUCACAAUGCGUCCUAACUUCAACUUUCGUUGGCUAGAAAUACAUUGCUCAAUUCACAUUCUUUCAGGCAUUCUAUCGAACACUUUUGAUGCAUAGAAAAACCUAGGUUCUACAACAGGGUGAUCAAUCCUAUUCUAGCAUUAAGAACAUGUGAAUCAAAGAACCUAGAGAAUGAGAAUUCCAAACAACAAUUAAUCCAUUAAUCUAUCGAAUCUCCUAAUUAGAACCCUAACACCUAAUUAAAAGACUACUCACACAUAGCAACAGAAACAAGACAAAUAGAUGAAGAAGACAUAAUUGAAUUGCAAUGAAAAUAAGAAAUAGGGUUUAGAAAUCUUCUCCAAAUUGUCAAAGAGGAUGAAUCUCUAGAAUCCCAAGGUUGCUUACAAGAGAGAAGUCUCAGAAAAAUUGCAGAAAAAAAACGUGAAAAGAAAAUUAGGUCUCUGGGGUUUUUAUACCCAAGUACAAAAAAAAAAAAGGAAGACAAAACCCGGUUUAGGAAAACCGUCUCGGGCGUCGAGGCUCGGAUCGAUCGAUCCGAUGGGUGGAUCGAUCGAUCCAGAUAUGCUGAAUCACGGUCUUGGACGGAUGAGGGUUGGAUCGAUCGAUCCCAUGGGUGGAUCGAUCGAUCCAGAAAUGCUGAAUCAAUUGUCUCGGACGAAUGAGGGUUGGAUCGAUCGAUCCCCUCCUGGGAUCGAUCGAUCUCGAGCGACUGGAACUUUUGGUUUCAUCGUCACAAUUGGGAUCGAUCGAUCCACGCCUUGGAUCGAUCGAUCCCCAGCUCCUGGUGAUCUCUUGUACCGUUUCUCCAUUGUUUUAGCUCCGAAUAGGCUCAAUCAUGCACAAGAUGCUCCGAAUCCAGCUCGAGCACCUAUAGCCUGCAAAGGACUCAAGACACAACCGAAAAGGCGCAAAAGACGGACUUUGAUACGAUAGAUGACUCAAAACAUGGACUAAACCAAGACUCGAAACCGUUAAAAACGCAACACAUCAAUUCUCUUCAACAACUCUUUGGUUUUAGGUUAGAUCUGUAAAUGGACACUGUAUUUCUGUUGCAGUAAUAUAGGAGGGUUAUAUCAGAAAGCUGGUUAAAACCCAUGGGAUUAUGGCUUCAAAACCCAUGUUUAGUGGUUUUCAAAGAGAUAUAGAAAUGAUGAAGAAACAAUGUAUGUGUGAAAAGAUAUCAUUGGAUGGAUCAUACCACAAAACUCUUUUUGGAAGCACAUGGAGGUGGAUAACUGAUCCCAAUGAUUGAUUUUUCUUUUAUAUGAGAGAAGGAGCACUAAAAGAAGCAGUACAUGAAUAGACAAUCGCUUUCAACAGAUGAUUCACUGUUCAUCUGACCUUAGUACAUGAAAAAACAGCUUCUUGUAGGACUCUUUUUUUUAUCUCUUUUUGUCAAAAUUUGUAGACUCUCAGUCUUCAGAGAUAACUUACAUUGAUAUAUAUACUUGUGACUUGAUUGAUCUGAUUUGAAUUGAACCAUUCCCUUACAUUUUUGGUUUCUCUCCCAAAAUUGAACUUGUUUUACAAUUGCCAUUGUUCACCAAACAAAAAAAAAGUUAAACUAUCAAAGAGGCUAGUAAAAAGGUGAAAACAUGAAUAUAGUAAACUCCACAAUAAUAAACACCAUUUGGUUGGCCCCACUUUUGUUUCUAUAACAAUCUCCCAAUUUCAUCUUUUUCACCCCUCCAAAAAAAAAUCAUCAUUUGACAAGUACAACUAUACAUAAUGCAUGUAUGUGAAUACAUCAUCAUCAUCAUAUCAAUUGGAGAAAACCUAGCUUUUUUUAGUUAUGAGUUAAACAAAUUUGCUCUUCUUCUCUGACUUUGGAAGUAAAGAAAAAAAAAGACUUUUUCCUCAAAUUCAGCGAUUUUUUUUUCUUUUCCAAAUUAGUUACAUACAGUACGGAAGCUAAUGAGAUAUUAUUAAAAAUUGCAUACAAAUUGCCAGAAAAAUGGCCUAUGUGGCUACAAAGUCUGGUCCCAUAAAGCUUUUAAGUCAAUUCCGAAAAUGUUGUCACUUCUUUGGAUCUCUCAUCCUCGUCGUCUUAUCUCUCAGCUCCUUCAUCGUUCCCCCGUGAAAGCUAUAUUCUGUUUUUUUUUUUUUUCCAAAAUAUAACACAUAGUAAUAAUAAUAAGAAACUCUGUAUUGUAACAUCCAUAAUUAUAACAAAACAUCAAAUUUGUACACAUUUCCUUAUUCAUGCUCAUAGUCAUUUUCUUUUCUUUAGCAUUAUAAGAAUAACAUUGCGGCGCCAGUAAACAAGAAAAGCAACAGUGAUUACUGAGUCUGAGACCAACAUAUAUACUUUAUAUAUAAUUAGGGUUAGUUAAAAACUAUGUAAUACUAAAAUAAAUGAAAGUGGGCUCAGACAAAAAAACAAAUCAAAGUCACUAACAAAGUGGCCAUGUGCGACUGCUCAAAAGUCUAGUGUCUCUCUUAACAGAUUCCUGAUUCCUUCCUCUAGUCUUCAUUAUAUCAAUUAAUUAUUUGCUCCUAAUCAAUCUCGUUUAUUUAAUUAUAAUUUCAACUGUCUCGUCUCGAGAAACAGCGUCAUCCAUCUGUUUUUUAAAUAAUGUAUCUUUAAUAAUAGUAUAUGAUGAUGAUGUAAUGUAACUCUACCUAAACUGAAUCAGAUAUAUAAAUAACAUUUAAAAGAGUUAAAAUAGUUUAAUUACCAUAUUAUGAGGAUGAGAGUAAUAAUAGUACAUGUUUUGGCCGUAGUAACCAUCGGGAGAUCAACGGUGGUGGCAGCGGCGGUAACAGAAUCAUCUCCGUCGUUUUCAUCCAUUUGACACUCCAAAUCCACACCGAAAAGCCUCACUGUCCUUGAGCUUCCGACGACGGAUGACGAUGGUGUGGAGUGAGUCUCAGCCGCUGUUGCUACGGCGGCUCCUGUAAUCACCGACACGUGCGUGUCAUUAAUUAAUUGAAAGAAACCAAAAACAAAAACAAAAACACAAAAGUACACAACUGAACAAAAAGCACGUUUGUCCCAGGGGAUUGGACGGUCUUCUUCACGCGCUCUUAUAUGCGCGUGUAUAGCUACUAUAUUAACUACAACUUGGAGAAAUUAAGCAGUCGAGGUGGUCAUUUUUUUUUCUUCUAUUACUUAAUAGCUGUAUAAUAACGUUACUUAUCUCAGGUUUUUAAUAAUGAAGCAUAUAGUAUUUUUUUUUUUUUGAUAAACCGAAGCAUAUAGUAUUUUGUAGAACUAAAUAUAAUUUAUCGUACACUAUUAGCUAUAAAUAUCUACAUUUGGGUGUAAUGUUUUAAUCCUCCCGACAACAUUGUAUAGUCGAUACUCUAGGACACGAACAAUUCAUUCGUAGAAAAAUAAAAAAUGUCAAAAGAAAAAGAGAUUAAAAUUAUUUGAUAAAAAAAAAAGAGUCAAAUAAUUUGGUUAAAAAGAGAAAUAUAUACCGUAGUGGGAAUACUCUGAGUGAGAGGGAGGAUUAGAGUAAUUACUAGUGGCGUGGAUUUGAUGAUAAGAAAGAGCUCCCAUAGAACUCAUAUUCACGGCGGAGUUAGUGGCUGCGGCAGAGGAGGAGCCUUGGCCACGUCUGCGCCACCCAAUGAAGAGUCUCCGGGAAUCAGAACGGUGUCGUUGGAAGAAAACGACGUCGCCUGGAUCGAGCUGUUUGUCUUUGACAAAUCUGCUCCAUCCUUUAGUCAAGACAUAGCUUUGACUGCUGUUCCAAUAAGAGUAUCUGAACCUCCAUGACUUGCCUGACUCGUCUUCAAAGCUUAGAAGCAUCCCUUUCUCCGACGAUGACGUGUCAGUAGCAGCAGAGGAGACUACGACGGCAUUGAGAGGGAAGUAUUUCUCUGCGUGCUGUUUUGGUAUGACGAGGCGGUUGAGUUUGCCGACGUCGCUUGGUGUGAGAGACUUCUCGAAGAGUGACUCUUUUAGGUCGUCGUGGAGCCAUGUGGCGGUGGUGGUUGUCUCCGUUGUGUCGGUGGUGUGGCGGUGUUGCUGUUGCCACAAGAGAGUGUGGUGGUGGUCUGUGGAGUAAUGGUUGACUGACAUUUUUCUAGGAGAUAGAAAGCGAAAGAGAGAGAGAGGUAGAGAGCGAAUGGAGAGUAUAGGGAGAGAGGGUUAGGUGAAAGAGAGAGGUGGGUACUCGUAGUUCUAAUAUAGUAUGAUACGAAGGAGAGAGAGAUGAAAAAAUGGUGUUUUUGAGGGUUAAAAAUUUGACGUGAAAACUUUGGCUAACUAUUUGAGGAGAGAGUAACACACGACAACCAGAAGACUUUCUUUCUUUUAAGGUUUUGCGUGAUGUUUUAUCUUUUUCCAUCAUUAUUACUUUUUUCUACUUCUUGCAGUCCGUAUUCUUUAUUGAUUUACAGUACUAUUUCCUUUUUUCUUAUUCUAUUUGCCUAUAUCAUAUUUAUGUAUGUACGAUCAUGUUCGGUGAUUUUUUUCUUAAACACACUGGAUUCCACGAUUUGAAUUUGAAGUAUGACGAUACUUCAGUAUUAAUAUAAAGAUUUAUAAUAGGAAAAUAUAUGCUAAUUAUGUAUUAUGGUAUAAUUUUGUAGGGGAUAUGAAAAGGUAUACUCAGGUGAGGUUGGUGAUUAGGACUUAGGAGGAAUAUAUAAACAAGAAAGAAGAACUAAAAGGUUUAAUUUAAAAAAAAAAAAAAAAGUUAGGCUACACGAAAACCCAAAGAAUCAACCUAUUUAGAGUUAGAAGGAUAUGACCCAUUUGAAAAGAUAAAUGCAAUUAUUGGGAGAAAAAAUAAUGGUCAAUUUGUUUUUUGAUGUCAUUUCUUAGUAACAUCCUGAAAAAAAUUAUGUUCUUUGCGUGCUUCUCGAAAUGUUACCAAAAGAAGAAAAACAAAAGAUAUGUUGCUUGUUAUUUCGACGCAAUUAAUAGAGCAAUAAUACACAUUUUAUCUGAAAAAAGUUACACGUAAUUCACAGUCAACUGUGUGAUAUAAAUGAUACGUAUAGUUAGGCCGUGUUCGAUGGUCGAUGCACUAACGUUAGCAUUCGUCAUCAGUGUUUAGUCUCAGGUUCUUAAAAAGCCUUUUCAUUGGUAAGUUAUAUAUAUACUUAUAUCUAUUUUGGGGAUUUGACGAACACAAUCAAAGUUUGUCAUUAGCAUUACACUGAUAUUUAAUUGCAGCAUCAUUUCUAGUGUUAACGAAUGUUGUUAUAUAAUUUACUACAAAAAUAUAAAGGAUAUAUAUAUUAAUCCAUUAUUUACCAAAUAAUUUUACAUUAAGAAUAUAUUUUUUCUUUGAAAUAGAAUAUAAUAAUCUUAAAGCAUAUAGUCAUAUACUAUAGUUUAAGAAGGUGUAGACGCGUUCUUUACUUUCAUAAAUACUAUCGACGCUUUUUUUGCACUACCUUUCCCAUCUAAGGUAAAAAUACUGUUACGUCAUGGAUUCAAGUUACAAGAUAUUUUUCUAACUUAAGUUCUACAAAAUCUUUUGUGAUGGUAAUAUACUAUUUUUUUCCUCAAGCUUAUACUUAAAUUGUUUUUCUUCAGCUUAAGGGUACAUAUAUAUAUAUAUAUAUAUACAUAUACAUUUGUUUAUUGGGUCUAUUUUAGGGGAAUAAAAGAUGACUAACAAUUGGGAGGUCUAAUAGGUAGGAGAGUAAACAAUAGCAGAAUAGCUGCAGAAAAUAUUAUAAAAACUACUGAAUAAGGCCGAGCAUGUUUGAUCUUGAGCUUCUCUGGGAAAGAAAAAAAGGAUACUUUAAAUAAUUAUUAUAAAAUUCAUAUUUAAUGUUUAUACAUAUAUUUAUACCAUCCAUCUAACCUAACCCCUGCCCAGACCAACAUGUUAAAAAUAGUAAAAAAUAAACUCCAACAUACAGUAUUAAAUAAAAAUAAUUAAGCUCCAACAUUAAUACUGAUUAAAAAUAUUUACUGUCUGACAGUUUUGGAAUGAAACAAUACCAAUCUCUAUUUAUCCUUACAAUCUAAUUGAUUGAGAAAAUAUAUAUUGGUAAACUAGUGUAAUUGUUGUUAUAUUAUAUUCUGUAAUAAUUGACAUAUAGUAUAUGUCCACUCUAAUGUACCAGUUAAGCUCUUCAAAUUUGAUAACUCUGAAUGACUUAACUUUUUUUUUUUUUUUUGAGAAACAAUUGAAAGUUAGGAAGCAAUUUGUUUAUUUAUUGAAACGAAGGUUAGUCCGUAAGAAAAUCUAGUAAAAAUUAGUAAAUGAAUACUACUACUAUAUAAUACAAGAUGGCGUAGGAGCAAAGAGGAUGACGGAAGCAUGAUGAAGGAAGAAAGUGAUCCAACGGCUGAGAGUGCAUGAUAGUUUUUCACCGGAAAUAGAUACUUUGCCCUCACGCAACUUGUGAAGGCAUGUGCUUUGCCUUUCCCACACACCAUUCCAUGCAUCUUCAAUUCUACUCUCAUUUAUUCAUUCCCCCGGGGAUUAGACUUCCUUACAUUUCUAAUUUUUUUUUUUUUGGGCAAACCUUACAUUUCUUAAUUAACAUCAUUUUUAUCAGAGUGUCGAAAAUGGAAUCGCGAGGGUAAAAUACUGUUUUUUUUUUUUAAUUGUAGGGUAAAAUACUGUUACAAUUAAUCGUUUAGAAAAUGAUAUAUAUUCUCAUAACAAAAUCACUUAAUAAAGUUAAAAUUUUCACCAUAUAUAUAUAUACUUUUUAAACUACAUCAAAUUAUAUAAUACUUACUAUCUCUUACAUCUUAACUUUAUAAAUACCAGACAUUACGAAUUUACUGGUCGACAUUUCUAUUUUUCUUGAUUUUAAUCGUUUUCUACGGAAAUCCUAUAUAACUACCUGAAAAAAUCCAAAAGACAUGCAAAUGGGCACCUACGUGGUCCGCUUCUGUUUUAUUUGACGACUUUUUUUACCAAAUGUUUUUCUUUUAUAGUAACCUCUUAUCAUUUUUUCAUUUGUAAAACAAAUUAUGAAACAUUUGUCACGUGAUUUCUGGACACCAUUAUUGGUGUUUAGACGUUUAUAUUUUUCCUAAUUUCGACAAAAUAUUAUUAAGAUAUAACUAUGGUGGAUUCAACAAUUUACACACACAUCCUUUGAUUUUUAUCCAUCUGCCUAUGGAAUUUUAACAAAACAGAACUCUAACACAAAUAAUCGACAUCCAUUUUUCUUUGACAUAAUCUAUACUUACUUAUGCAUGUGUCUGUGUAUAUAUAUAUUUUUUUCUUAUCAAGCUUUCGUGAAAGAAUAAAACGAAAAUUUAUUGUUGACUGUGGGCCAACUUCGCUUCAAGUAGAGAGGACCAUCUAAAGAAAUUACAAUAAAUUCAUAAAAUAGUAAAUGAUAAGAUAUAAAUAGAAAGUUAUGGAUUUUUUCCAAUAUAAUCUAUAAGAAGAAAACAACAAUUAUGCGAUGAAAUUUGUACCAUUGGAUAUAUUACACAAAUACACAGAUAAAACAACAAAGAUUAUUUCCUCUUCUUUUGUGUUUCAAUCCUCUCCUCACAGAGGAUGACCUCCCACUUCAACUUAUCAGAAGAGCACCGAAAAUCACUUGAACGCAAAAGGAAGUAGUACAUAUUGAUCGCCACUCCACGAAAGCACAAAAUGUGAUGAUAUUAUGCUUGUGACAUAGUUUGGAUGUCCUGCUCUAAAUCUCUAAUCCAAUCCCAAAAAUCAGGUACGGAUGCUCAUUUUGGUAUUUUUCUUCACCGGGUCAGGGAUUGUAAUUACGCUUGUGACAUAGUUUUGGAAUUUGUUUCAUAGCUAAGACAUGUCUCCUUCAGCAAAUAAUGAUUGAAUUAGUGUUGCAAAAAGAUUUGAGUAAUGGACAAAUGCGACAUCAUUUCCAGGUCGAUUUCGAGACACCUUUUUCGCAUGUACGUCUGCAUCAGUUAAACACACUUUGUUAUUUUAUUUAUGUCCUUUGCUAUAUAAGUAAUUUCAAACAUUUAUGUACGAGAAGUUCUUUUUAAAAUUUUCACCAUAAUAAUAUCGCACAUGUUAGGGUCAUUUCCUCUCCAAUGACAGAAGAGGUUGUUGGGUUCUUGUAUGUACUUUUAUCCUCUCUUUUUUCUUUCGCUAUAUUGUUCAUAGUCUCGUAGAGCAUGAUUUAUUAUUUUCUAUAUUUUUUUUGGUCUUUCUAAUCCUAUGCAAUUCGAUUAAAAAAAAAUUAUUUUCUUCUUCUUUUUGUCACGAAUGGUUUAUGAUUGAUUAUGAAUUUGAAACGAAGGGAAGAGUUUGGAGUAUGUGUAAUUUUUUGCAAUAAAUAUGGAAGGCUUAAUCAUGUUAUCGUCUUAUCGAUCUCCAGACUCCAAUCACUGCACCUAGCCAAAUUGAUUAGUCUAACUUACAUAUAUAUACGUUUAAAAGUAUAUUCUACUGUUAAAUCCUCUUUUAAAUAUUUAUUUCAAAGGCUGCAUGAUUAAGUGGAAUUUUUUCAAAGAAUGUGUUUUAAAAUCUGUUUUUGUUUUGUCAAAAUUUAACAUGUUUUAUAUUCGUUUACCUCAGGUAGCAAAGUAAUAUAUACUCACCUAACAAGGUAUUGACUAUACAUACAAUAAUGAGUGCUCGAAAGUCUUAUUUAUAAACGAGAGCGACUGCUAUUUUUCUUUUGUCAACAUGACUGCUACGAUUAGGGGUGUUGUUUCAUGAUUCCACAUUUUGAAUAACAACUUUAGCGCUCUUGCAAUAAACCCAAUAUAAAUGUGCAUAAUAUUAGAGUAUAGUAAUACAUGUAAAUAGUUUUUACUCACAUGUAAUUUUAUUCACUAUAUAUACUGUACAUGUAAACACUUUUACGCUUAAUGAGAAAUAACAACUUUCUGAUUAUCUCUUAUCUGAUAUGGUAUCAGAGCAUAUUCGCUCUCCUUCCGCAACUCGAUUUCUCAUUCCUUGCUUCAUCUUCGAGCUUCGAUCUUCAUGAUUUGAGCUUGUUUUUCUUUGAAUCGAUCUCCGAUUGUUUCGGAUCGAGCUUUGUUUCAACUUUUUUGAGCUCCGAUUGCUCUUUUUCAUUUUUUUUUCGUUUGUUAAGCUUCGCGUUAUCUCGGCUUCGUUUCAAUGGCGAAUACGACUCGCGAUUCCUAUGACAAUCCUUAUUUUCUCACUAAUAAUGAUCAUUCUGGUUUGGUGUUGGUGUCAGAUCGUCUUACUGGCGCUAGCGAUUUUGGAUCAUGGUAUCAAUCGAUGCUCAUGGCGUUAAACGGUCGUAAUAAGCUUUGUUUUGUUGAUGGUAGUCUUCCUAAACCCGAUGAUGGCCAUAAAGAUGCAGCGACUUGGUCCAGAGUUAAUGAUGUGGUACGCUCUUGGCUCAUGAACUCUGUUUCCAAAACUAUAGGCCAAAGCGUGUUAUAUGUGAAGACUGCACAUGGUAUUUGGCAAAAAUUAUUGAAGAUCUACCAGCAAAACAAUGUUCCUAGACUCUAUCGAAUUGAACAAAAACUUGCUGGACUUCGUCAAGGUUCUUUGGAUGUUAAUACUUUUUACACAAAACUGGUUACGAUUUGGGAAGAAGUGAAAAGUGCUCAAGAUUUUCCUAUUUGUCAAUGUGGUGGCUGUGAUUGUGAUCUGAAUAGUAAAUGGAUGGAACUUUUUGAGAGAAACUUUGUGAUUAAGUUUCUAUUUGGUCUCAAUGAAUCAUAUGAAAAUGUCAGAGAAUCUAUCAUCAUGCGUGAUCCUUUGCCUGAUUUGGAAAAAACAUUGAAUCUGGUGAUUCAACAUGAACAUCAACAGGAAAUCAAGCAAACUCCUCAGGCUGGUGGUGUAGUUUUUCAGAUGAGUUCUCAGCAGGCUCCAUCUUCUUAUGAUCAAAAUUUCCAGCACAAUCCAGUCCUUAAUGAUUGCUCUGGUUCUUCUGAAGUUGUUGGCGCUGUUUCAGGUGGUUAUCGACCUAAGCAACGUCCCAUUUGUACUUACUGUGGGUUGCAGGGACAUAUUGUUACCAAGUGUUACAAACUUCAUGGUUAUCCACUUGGUUACAAGUCUCCAGCUCAGUCUUAUGGUUCUCAAUCCUAUGGUAAUCAGAAUGUUGCUCCUACUUUUGCUCCAAAGCAGUUUCAGUCUCGACCUAUUUUUGCUCCUCAACAACAGCAGCAACAACAACAUGGUCAACAAUUCAUCCCUCAUCAGGCACGAAUGCAGAGUCAGAAAGAAUCAAGAGAUAAUAUGGUUGGCAAUGUUAUUACAACAUCUCCUGCGGUACACGAUCAUUUUCACCAAGUGUCUAAUGCUUUGGCUCAGCUAUCAUCUGAGCAGAUUGCACAGUUAGCUUCUCAAUUGACUACCAAAUCCACCUGUUCUAUGCCAAGCAUUUCUGAGACUCCUGGUGUCACAUAUUCCUCUACUUCUGCAGGUAACAUCAUUUGCACAACCCUCUCAGAACCAUGCCUUAAUUUUAAUGCAUGGAUUAUUGACUCUGGUGCCACUACUCACGUGUGUUGCAACUUAAACUUGUUUGCUGACAUUAAUAGUAUUCCUGAUACUACUGUGAAAUUGCCUAAUAGUUCUCAGAUUGUUAUCAACCAAUCUGGAACUGUUUUGUUAUCAGAUAAACUUCUUCUUAAAAAUGUCCUUUUCAUUCCAUCUUUUCAUCUUAAUCUCAUCAGUGUCAGUUCACUUCUUCAACAUUGUGCAUACUCAGUUAAUUUUUUCCCUUCCUUUUGCACAAUUCAGGAGCUUACUCGGGGCUUGAUGAUUGGUAAAGGUCAUCUUGAGAAUAAACUUUAUUUUCUGGAUCCUGCAACUUCAUCUUCAUCAUCUCAAGCUCCAUCUUCUUCCAUUUGCAAUCUCACUGUUUCUGAUUCUAGUUCUCUUUGGCAUUCAAGACUGGGUCAUCCAUCUUUUCCCAAGAUUCAAGCUCUUUCUGAAGAUCUUUCUCUUUCAAAAACAAAACUUAAAGAUUGGUCACAUUGUCAGACAUGUCAUCUUGCAAAACAGAAACGUUUACCUUUUCCUUUUCUUAAUAAUCUGUCUCAGAAACCUUUUGAUCUUAUACAUUUGGAUGUUUGGGGUCCUUUCUCUGUUGUUUCAGUUGAAGGCUUUCGUUAUUUUCUUACUAUAGUGGAUGAUUGCACUAGAGUAACUUGGGUUUAUCUCUUGAAAUCAAAAAGUGAUGUUUUAAAAGUCUUUCCCACUUUUAUACAAACUGUUGAAACACAAUUUUCUAGUAAAAUCAAAGCCAUUCGUUCAGACAAUGCCCCUGAACUUUCUUUUACUUCUCUUCUUCAAUCCAAAGGAAUAUUUCAUUACUUUUCUUGUGUUGAUACACCACAACAAAAUUCGGUUGUGGAGAGAAAACAUCAACACAUUCUAAAUGUGGCCAGGGCUCUUCUUUUUCAAUCUAAUGUGCCAUUACAAUAUUGGUCAGAUUGUGUUCGCACUUCUGUCUUUCUCAUAAACAGAACUCCUUCAACUCUUCUCCAAAAUAAAACUCCUUAUGAACUAUUACUCCAAAAGAAACCAAAUUAUUCAAAUCUUAAAAGUUUUGGUUGUCUUUGUUAUGUGUCUACCUAUCCAAAAGAUAGACACAAAUUCUCUCCUAGAGCAACACCCUCAGUUUUUCUUGGUUACCCUUCUGGAUACAAAGGUUAUAAAGUCCUUGAUCUUGAAACUCAUUCCAUUUCAAUCUCAAGAAAUGUUUUAUUUCAUGAGGAUAUCUUUCCUUUUCAGUCUUCUAAUCUCUCUUCUUCCACCAUUGAUAUUUUCUCUUCUACUAUACUUCCUCUUCCUAUUCCUGAUUCAUCAUCAUCUUCUUCUUCCAUUCCUCAUCUUAUUCCUGAAGUUUUAUCUGAUAACAGUAAUGUCUCAGUAGAAUCAGAUUCUACUAUUCUUGUUGAUGGAAACAGGCCUAAGAGGAACACUCGUAAGCCAACUUAUUUGGCUGAUUAUCACUGCAAUCUUGUACGACACAUCCCUAAUGACAGUGGUAAUACUUCCCAUCCAUUGCAAACGGUACUUGAUUACUCUCAGCUGAAUGAUCACUAUCAACAAUUCAUUUUCAACAUUUCUGCGGAGUCAGAACCAAAAAAUUUUGCUGAGGCUAUCAAGUCUGAAAAGUGGCAUGGACCUAUGAAUGAAGAACUACAAACGUGUGUUAACACUGGUACAUUCUCUGUGGUCACAUUGCCUGAAGGAAAGAAGCCCAUUGGCUGCAGAUGGGUUUACAGGAUAAAGCAUCAUGCUGAUGGGACUAUUGACAGAUACAGAGCUAGAUUGGUUGCUAAGGGUUAUACUCAACAAGAAGGAGUGGAUUAUAUUGAUACAUUCUCUCCAGUAGCAAAGCUUGUUACAGUCAAAUUAUUACUGGAUUUGGCUGCCAAACACAACUGGUCUCUAACUCAAAUGGAUGUUACAAAUGCUUUUUUGCAUGGUGAUCUUGAUGAAGAGAUUUACAUGGAGUUGCCACCAGGUUACACACCACCUCCUGGUGAAAGCUUGCCUCCAAAAGCAGUUUGGAAACUCCACAAAUCACUCUAUGGGUUAAAACAAGCUUCAAGACAGUGGAACAAGAAAUUUUCAGAUGUGUUAUUGGUGAAUGGUUUUACUCAAUCUCAGUCAGAUCACACACUUUUUGUACGGCAAGUGGGUAACACUUUUCUUGCUUUACUAGUGUAUGUGGAUGAUAUCCUUAUUGCUAGUAACAGUGAUCAAGCCGUCUCAGAUUUGAAGAAUAUUUUGUCCACUGCUUUUAAACUCAAAGAUCUUGGUCCAGUUAAGUACUUUCUUGGACUUGAAAUUGCUAGAAACAAGAAUGGAAUCUCCGUUUGUCAACGGAAAUACACUUUGGAUUUGUUGGAAAGUGUUGGUCUUCUAGGUUGCAAGCCAGUGGCAACACCAAUGGACUCUGAUAUACAUUUACAUGCUGAAAGUGGUGACUUAUUACCUGAUGCCACAGUAUACAGAGCUCUCAUUGGCAAGCUGCUGUAUCUUACUAUUACAAGAGCUGACAUUACUUUUGCUGUCCACAAACUGAGUCAAUAUCUCUCUCAACCAAGGACUCAACAUUUACAAGCAGCUCAUCGUAUUAUCAGAUACUUAAAAGGAGAUCCAGGGCGUGGUCUGUUCUAUGCUGCAAACUCUGAAUUCAGACUACAAGCUUUUUCAAACGCAGAUUGGGCAACUUGUCAAGAUUCACGCCGUUCUACUACUGGCUUCUGUGUUUUCUUUGGUUCUUCUUUGAUCUCAUGGAAAUCCAGAAAGCAACAAACUGCCUCACGUAGUAGUGCUGAAUCAGAAUACAGAGCCUUAGCUGAUACAACGUGUGAAUUACUUUGGCUGAGUCAAUUGCUAAAGGAUCUUCAUGUUCAAGUUACUGGCCCAGCAAAUCUCUACUGUGAUAGCACUGCAGCCAUUCAGAUUGCUUCAAAUUCAGUCUUUCACGAACGCACCAAACACAUAGAGAUAGAUUGUCACAUUGUUCGUGAUAGGUACAAAGCUGGUUUUCUGAAUUUGUUGCAUGUUACUACGGAUAAUCAACUGGCUGAUCUGUUUACUAAAGCUCUACCUCCCAAGACAUUCAAGAUGCUCAUGUCAAGAUAUGCUUUUUCAAGUCUCUUUCUUCCUUCUUGAAGAAUUCGACUUGAGGGAGGGAUAUUAGAGUAUAGUAAUACAUGUAAAUAGUUUUUACUCACAUGUAAUUUUAUUCACUAUAUAUACUGUACAUGUAAACACUUUUACGCUUAAUGAGAAAUAACAACUUUCUGAUUAUCUCUUAUCUGAUACAUAAAAUACAUAUUUACGGCUAUAUAAUCGGCGAAGUAGUGGAUACCUCUCUAAGUUUUCCAAGCAAUAAAUUUUCUUGGUGGUACGUCAGUACGUGAAAUGUACUAAUGAAGUCGUAUGUAUUAUUUUAUGUGCAAAUUGUUACACACACAGGCACUAAUACGACCAAAUGGUUACACACACGAAUAACGUAGUGCAUAUCUAAUACUCCCUCGAAGAAAAGAAAAAAAAUACAGGAGGAAGGAGCGGUAUCUGCGAUGAAAAUCGUGGAGGGUUUCUAUAAUCUGCAAGUUUCUUUAAAUAAAUGUCUCAAAACGACAACCUUUCUUUGUUAUUUUUGGAAAGUGGUGCGAGAAGCUUCACUGAGCUUCGGGUAAGUUGCUAUUUUAUAUUCUUAUUAUUCCUAUACAUUCAUGAUAUUUUCUCGAUCCCCUAGUAAAAUAGCAUCAUCUCUUUAUUUUCUUCUUAAAACUGUGUUCCCUCUUGUUCUUUAGUUGUUCGUGAUUUCGUAAUGAGUGAGUACUUUCGAAAUACAAUAAUAUUAAUAGAGGAUUCACUUGUUAAUUGGCUUAUCAUUCAAGUUGAAACCAAUGGCGUAUAUCUUGGAUUAUAGAAAUAGGUUAUAGGUACGUCGACAGGAAUCGAGGUAAUUGAUUCACAAUAUUUAUAGUAUAAUAUUUUAAGAUUCUAUAUUCUUACGUUUUAGAUGAAGUACUUGUACUUUCCUAAGAGUGUAUUUCGGUAUAAUAACAGAUAGUAGGCCACUUUAUAAGUAAUAAACUAUCUAUUUUGAGAGAUAGUUAGUUAGUUGUUUAGUGGUUGAGGUGGUUGAAGUAAUUCACUAUAAGUGUUUAGAGAUUGUGUGAUUCAAAUCAUUACUUUCACAAUCAUGAUUUCAAAAUUUCAAUCAUAUAUGCAUGGUAAGUAAAAUAUUCGGUUUUUGAUGGAUCACUAGAAAUUAAUAUAAGUUUCAACUCAUGGUCUUAGGUUAUAAGAAUAUUAGAACUAAUGCAUCAAAAGUGAACUUAAAACAAAGACUGUAUAGGUAACUAAGAAACGCAUUGAGUGCUAAUAUAUAGAAUCUAAUGACAACAUAAUUUUUUGCAUUUGCAUAUUAUAGAUAUGUGUGAAAAACUUAUCGUCGACUAAUAUAUUGAUAGCUCCUAAAGCAGGGGACCAAAACUCUUGCUGUAUUUUCUUAUUAUUCUAAACAAAACUGGCCUGGAUGAGUGAGAGAGGACCACACUUUUUUCUUUUUAUUUUUCUUAUAUAAUUAAUAUAAAAUAAAUUUUGAUCUGCACUGUUCCACAGACUAAAGUUGUAUGCAGCCGAUAUCUUAGACUUAGACAGUUUAGCACCAACAACAUUAAUUUCCAGAUUCAUAUUUUAAAUUUAGUGAUUUUUAGAUGGAAACAAAUUCCAAUAUCUGGAGACAGUUCAUGUUACACACCUAAUUAGUAGUGAGAACAAAUUUCAACAUAAUAGAUGAUUAAAUAAGUAAAAAUAAGACUUUAUUAACAAAUUAAGAUGAGUUUAUUGGUUUGUGUAAAAUUCUUAAUUGACAUAUACUCCGAUCUUCUCCCAAAUGUUGCCAUUCAACUAACUAAAUUGCAGAGUUUAGUUUUUAAAAGAUCGUUAAAUUCUUAGAAAGAAAACUAAAUCCUUGAGUUUCUGACUUCACUAUAAAUAUUUUGGUACAUUUUUCAUUUUCUUUUUGUCAAUCCAACAUCUUUUUUUUUUUUUUAACCAGAUAAAGUUGGUAAUAUUUUUUCACAAAAGUAAUGUUUGUUCUUGGAUGUUCAAACACAUAAUGGGCCAUUCCCAGAAUCUUCAAACACUUACUGGGCCAUUCCCAGAAUCUCCAAACAUGUAAUGGGCUAUUUCCAGAUUCUUUAACGGACUCUUCUCUUCAAGAUUGGGCUUCGUUACAAUUUGCAAAUUCUAAAGUUAACAACGAUAAUACGAUUUUGCCCUUCCACUUCCCCAUAUUUAAACAGUUUCUGAUCCACAAAACCCUAACCCUAAUCUCAGCCGGUACUCAGAAGCAGAGAGAGACUGAGGAAGUUUCGUAACCCCCAAAUCACAACCAAAAAAUGGGUCGCGUUCGCACGAAGACUGUGAAGAAAUCAUCUCGUCAGGUGAUCGAGAAGUACUACUCUCGCAUGACUCUUGAUUUCCACACGAACAAGAAGAUCCUCGAAGAAGUCGCAAUCAUCCCAUCGAAGAGACUCCGCAACAAGAUCGCUGGUUUCUCCACUCAUCUCAUGAAGAGGAUCCAAAAGGGACCUGUCCGUGGAAUCUCCCUCAAGCUUCAGGAGGAAGAGCGUGAGCGCCGUAUGGACUUUGUCCCUGACGAAUCCGCCAUUAAAACCGAUCACAUCGAGGUCGAUAAGGAGACGCUUGAGAUGCUUGCUUCCUUGGGAAUGUCUGAGCUACC
rnacentral:lncRNA from 1 species